rnacentral:rRNA from 1 species
GACGAACGCUGGCGGCGUGCCUAAUACAUGCAAGUAGAACGCACAGGAUGCACCGUAGUUUACUACACCGUAUUCUGUGAGUUGCGAACGGGUGAGUAACGCGUAGGUAACCUGCCUGGUAGCGGGGGAUAACUAUUGGAAACGAUAGCUAAUACCGCAUAAGAACAUUUACUGCAUGGUAGAUGUUUAAAAGGUGCAAAUGCAUCACUACCAGAUGGACCUGCGUUGUAUUAGCUAGUAGGUGAGGUAACGGCUCACCUAGGCGACGAUACAUAGCCGACCUGAGAGGGUGAUCGGCCACACUGGGACUGAGACACGGCCCAGACUCCUACGGGAGGCAGCAGUAGGGAAUCUUCGGCAAUGGGGGGAACCCUGACCGAGCAACGCCGCGUGAGUGAAGAAGGUUUUCGGAUCGUAAAGCUCUGUUGUUAAGGAAGAACGAGUGUGAGAAUGGAAAGUUCAUACUGUGACGGACUAACCAGAAAGG